rnacentral:lncRNA from 1 species
UAUACUGUGUUUUGAGCAUUUAUUAUGUUUUUUGAAAACACUUUCGUUAGAAUAACACUGGAAGUGGCCAUGAGUAUAGGUUUUCUUCUCUUUUUGUAAAUGUUUCCUUUUUUUUUUUUUUAAAUCAGUUUAAUAUACUGUCAUUUGGACCCUGUUAGGUUAUGUCAUAUUGUCAAUCAUAUCACAUCUUCCUAUUUCUUGAUAUUGAAACCUGUGUUAAUUGAGCACACUGAGGACUAAAUAUUUUUUGCAUUAAACAGGUGUUUAAUUUCCACAGUCAUAAUAUUAAAAAUUUUAUGAAUACAAGAUUUAAAUAUCGAUAUUAAUUUUAUAUUUAAUGUUGAAGCACCUAUGUAGAGAAAGAAGAUAUAAUUCACCAUGUUUACCCUUUGAAUUGGUAAGAUAGUGGACAUAUGACACCUUUUGACGCCACCCCUUUACUCCAUAAUGCACCUUUUGACGCCUAUGUAGUGCCUCAGUUGAAACUUCUUGCCUAAGAAAAUUCUGUAUCAGACUUCAUAAAAUUUGUAACUUAUAUAAAAAGGAUAAUCAUAAGAAUAUGUGACUGGAAUUUCAUUGAUGAAAUAUUAGUUUUUUCAAUGCAUUAAUACUUUAAACCUGAUGAUUUUUUUAGUGAAAAAAUCCUUUGCGAAUCAAAUAUGGAAGAAAAAAAAACUCAUGCAGGAAAGCAAUUUUUUUUUUAUCAUUUGUGACAUUUUGUUUAUAGUGAUGUCAUAAUAAAGAUUUUUUGCACUGAACUGAA